rnacentral:piRNA from 1 species
UGAGGAAAGAAGCCUUGGGUGU